UACGUAGGUGGCGAGCGUUGUCCGGAAUUACUGGGCGUAAAGGGCGCGUAGGCGGCUCUUUAAGUCAGAUGUGAAAACCCAGGGCUUAACUUUGGGAGUGCAUUUGAAACUGAAGGGCUCGAGUGCAGGAGAGGUAAGUGGAAUUCCUAGUGUAGCGGUGAAAUGCGUAGAUAUUAGGAGGAACACCAGUGGCGAAGGCGGCUUACUGGACUGUAACUGACGCUGAGGCGCGAAAGCGUGGGGAGCAAACAGG
rnacentral:rRNA from 1 species